CCUACGUGUGUCAGCAGUGGGGGAUAUUGGACAAUGGGGGGAACCCUGAUCCAGCGAAGCCGCGUGAGUGAAGAAGUAUUUCGGUAUGUAAAGCUCUGUCAGCAGGGAAGAAAGAAAUGACGGUACCUGACCAAGAAGCCCCGGCUAACUACGUGCCAGCAGCCGCGGUAAUAAGGAGGGGGCAAGCGUUAUCCUGAAUUACUGGGUGUAAAGGCCGCGUAGAAGGUUAAGUAAGUCUGGAGGGAAAGGCCGGGGCCCAACCCCGGGACUGCUAUGGAAACUAUUGAAGUUGAGUGCAGGAGAGGUAAGCGGAAUUCCUAGGGUAGCGGUGAAAUGCGUAGAUAUUAGGAGGAACACCAGUGGCGAAGGCGGCUUACUGGACUGUAACUGACGUUGAGGCUCGAAAGCGUGGGGAGCAAACAGGAUUAGAUACCCCUGUAGUC
rnacentral:rRNA from 1 species